GACGCACACACACAAACACACACCUCCAUCAGACACACACACACAAACACACACCUCCAUCAGACGCACACACACAAACACACACCUCCAUCAGACACACACACACAAACACACACCUCCAUCAGACACACACACACACACAAACCUCCAUCAGACACACACACACAAACACACACCUCCAUCAGACACACACACACACAAACCUCCAUCAGACACACACACACAAACACACACCUCCAUCAGACACACACACACACACACAAACACACACCUCCAUCAGACGCACACACACAAACACACACCUCCAUCAGACACACACACACAAACACACACCUCCAUCAGACACACACACACACACAAACCUCCAUCAGACACACACACACAAACACACACCUCCAUCAGACACACACACACACGUCUCCAUCAGACACACACACACAAACACACACCUCCAUCAGACACACACACACACACACACACAAUGGACUGAGGGUCUUGGGCCCAUGCAACCAUGAACUAUGUGUGAUGAGUUCUCAUCUCACAUCUCUAUAUUCUGGGCCUCUGGUGGUCUCUAUUGGUCACUGUAUGUAAUUACAUUUCUAUUCAACCUCAGGUACGAGGCUGGAAUUGAUUCAUUCAAUAUAUUUGAAAGAAAACUGAUAUUAUUUCAAUUAAAGUCUGCAUUGAACCAUCCUAUUGCAGCUGCUGCUACUGUAUAUUAUAAACAUUUCUGGUUUUUGUUGAUCUGUUUAUGCUUGACUAACCGACAGUCAGGGGCCAAGACUCUAAAGCAAAACCUUUCUCCCCUCUAAGCCAAAGUGGAAUUAUUUUCUUACUGGUGGUGAUGGCAGAAUUCCCAGUACAGAAUUCGGGCCUCUGAGCUCCGAUACCGCUCCUGAAUCCCAUACCCGGCAAGGCAUCAUCGCUUUCCUGGUGGUCACAGUGGAGGACACCCCUUCUAGGUCAAGUCAAGUCAAGUCAGACACACACACACACACACACACACACACACACACACACACACACACACACACACACACACACACACACACACACACACACACACACACACACACACACACACACACACACACACACACACACACACAGCCUCAUAGGUUCAUACACACACACAGCCUCAUAGGUUCAUACACACACACAGCCUCAUAGGUUCACACAGUGUAAGUAAGCUACUCCCCGAGCCCAGAUAGGAUUUAGUUAUUAAAAAUGAGUAGUACUACUGUUGAGUAAAAGUUAGACAGUGUUAAUGUGACUACUGACUAAGGCUUCUCAUACUGAACUUGAAGGAUCCCUCACACAGAGGACAAAACAGAAAAGAUGUCCGAUAAAACUGCAGUUCCUCACAAUAAAAUGACAGCUCUUAAGAUUGUUAAAAUAGAAUGAAGACCAGCUCUAUAUAUGACAUUAAAACAAAAUGUUUUGAGCUGAUUGGAACUCUGGAUCCAAUUCAUUAAGACAGGCCUUUGAAGGCGUUAGAAAAGUCCCCUUUAUCAAUAUGUUCUCUGGGCUGGCUCAGUCCAGUCCAACCUGCAUUGAGUAAUAUGUGGAUUCAAGCUUCAGGUAGAUAGCUGUGAGGAAAGGCUCUCUUUUCUUUCUCUGACUCCCCAGUAAACAUGAACCCAUUGGCCCCAUGUGGGUAUUCGGUGGGCAAGGUGGGCUAGCCCACACCAACCCCACACCAACCCAACACAGGCUAGCCCACACCAACCCCACACCAACCCAACACAGGCUAGCCCACACCAACCCCACACCAACCCAACACAGGCUAGCCCACACCAACCCCACACCAACCCAACACAGGCUAGCCCACACCAACCCCACACAGGCUAGCCCACACCAACCCCACACCAAUCCAACACAGGCUAGCCCACACCACACCAACCCCACACCAACCCAACACAGGCUAGCCCACACCAACCCCACACAGGCUAGCACACACCAACCCCAAACCAAUCCAACACAGGCUAGCCCACACCAACCCCACACCAACCCAACACAGGCUAGCCCACACCAACCCCACACCAACCCCACACCAACCCCACACAGGCUAGCACACACCAACCCCAAACCAAUCCAACACAGGCUAGCCCACACCAACCCCACACCAACCCAACACAGGCUAGCCCACACCAACCCCACACAGGCUAGCCCACACCAACCCCAAACCAAUCCAACACAGGCUAGCCCACACCAACCCCACACCAACCCAACACAGGCUAGCCCACACCAACCCCACACCAACCCAACACAGGCUAGCCCACACCAACCCAACACAGGGUAGUCUACAUCAACACAACACAGGCCAGCCCACACCAACCCAACACAGGCUAGCCCACACCAAUCCCACACCAACCCAACACAGGCUAGCCCACACCAACCCAACACAGGCUAGCCCACACCAAUCCCACACCAACCCAACACAGGCUAGCCCACACCAACCCAACACAGGCUAGCCCACACCAACACAACACUGGCCAGGCCACACCAACACAGGCCAGCCCACACCAACCCAACACAGGCUAGCCCACACCAAUCCCACACCAACCCAACACAGGCUAGCACAAUCCCACACCAACCCAACACAGGCUAGCCCACACCAACCCCACACCAACCCAACACAGGCUAGCACACCCCACACCAACCCAACACAGGCUAGCCCACACCAACCCAACACAGGCUAGCCCACACCAACCCAACACAGGCUAGCCCACACCAACACAACACUGGCCAGGCCACACCAACACAGGCUUGCCCACACCAACACAACACAGGCUUGCCCACACCAUCCCAACACAGGGUAGCCCACACCAACACAACACGGCAAGGUCACACCAACCCAACACAGGGUAGCCCACACCAACCCAACACAGGGUAGCCCACACCAACACAACACGGGCAAGGUCACACCAACACAACACGGGCAAGGUCACACCAACACAACACGGGCAAGGUCACACCAACACAACACGGGCAAGGUCACACCAACACAACACGGGCAAGGUCACACCAACACAACACGGGCAAGGUCACACCAACACAACACGGGCAAGGUCACACCAAGCCCAGCUAGAGGCGGGGGCUCAUUAGAAUAUUUGGGGGCGUGGUUUACACACAGUUGUUUUUGUGCAGCCGUUACUGAGAGUGUGGUUCCUGUUGAAGUGUGGUUCCUGUUGAAGUGUGGUUCCUGUUGAAGUGUGGUUCCUGUUGAAGUGUUCUGUGUUGUGCUGCCUAUAUCCUGAUGAUCUUGUAAACGGCUAAUGAUCAAGUCUUUAGAAACACUUAUAUAAAUGUUUCUCUUGUUAAAUAUAUUCUGUAUGUAUGAUGGUAAUAACUUGGUUGUCUUUCUGAAAAAAUUGUAUCACGUUCCAUAAAUACCUGUAAGAGUAGAAAAUUAUGCAAUUUAUGCAUUGAAUUAAGUUUAAAUAAAUAAAUAUUAAAUAGCGAAGGCGCAUCAGCCCAAUGUGGGCAGCUUACAAGGGGUCAAUAUUUUAGCCUGCAUUGGGUUCAAAUCGUGACAAUUUGGACAUGUUUGCUGGGAAAAGAAGGGUGUAUUUCAGACAAAGUGACAGCUGCCUCACCAGAUCUGGGCUGCCCACACUGAGCCACACUGGGCAAAUGCCUUGGGGGCCAAUGUGGAGCCGAUGAGCAAAGGCGCAUCGGCCCAAUGUGGGCAGCCUAGAUGGGGCCAAUAUUUUAGCCCGAAUUGGGCCCACAUCGAGACAAUGUGGACAUGUUUGCUGGGGCUAAAACCUACAAUCUCUAGUUCCUUGUAAUUUUAUCGCUCUCUCCACGGUGCCGUGAGAAAACAAUAUAGUCCAAAUCUCCCAAUCUCCUUAAUGUUGUUCUAAUCUAAUGGAUCAUACACACACCUAAUGUCUCACAUUGGGCAUAUUAAGCAGAUUGCCUGCGUUAAACUACUGCUGUCAGAGCAGCAUGACAGACAUUACCAGCACUUAAGGCACAUUGUUUGUGUGUGUGAAUGUGUGUGUGUGUGUGUGUGUGUGUGUGUGUGUGUGUGUGUGUGUGUGUGUGUGUGUGUGUGUGUGUGUGUGUGUGUGUGUGUGUGUGUGUGUGUGUAUGUAUGUAUGUAUGUAUGUAUGUGUUUGUCUGCAUGUAUGUGUGUGUGUUUGUAGGUGUGUAUGUGUGUUCGAACAUCCCAAAUCUAAUUUUGCCCAUUCAUACGAGUCUGUAAUCAUGCCCGAACGUUUGGUCCAUUUAAAAUGUAAAAAAUGGCUGAAUAAAGUAAUCAUAUCAUGCUGCUGCUCUACAACUGUGCUGUCACCUCUACCGUGAUCAUUAGAGACAGGACCUGAGAGACAAUGACAACAUCAAUGCUUGGCUAACAACUAUUACUGUAAUAAAUAUGUGUAUGGAUCUGAAAGGCCUUGGUAGAACAAUGGAUGUCUUUAAUACCAUACAAACCCCAUAAACACAAUAUCUGCUUUACAUGCCACUGUUCUUAAGGCCGACACACACACACACACACACACACACACACACACACACACACACACACACACACACACACACACACACACACACACACACACACACACACACACACACACGUCACUUGUGGAUGAUGUGUGCAUUGUUAUUGUAUUGCUACAUAUUGCUGCGUUGUUGGAGAUAGAAACAUAACCAUUUCGCUGCACCUGCGAUAACAUCUGCUAAACUGUGUACGCCACCAAUAAACUUUGAUUUGAUCUGAAACACACACUCAAUCUCUCGCUCUCUCGCACACACACACACUCAUACACCCACCAACCCUCCACAAUGCCUCAU
rnacentral:lncRNA from 1 species